rnacentral:ncRNA from 2 species
AUCCAGACCAUGAUGGAGAACAGUAAAAACCCCAUGUCUGACAGAGAGUGGAACUCAGCGGCUGGAAGGUUCCUCAGGCCAAGGUUUUGAAACCCGCUCCGGAGUUGUUCGGGAAUUAACCGAACCGGUUUUGCCUCCGAUAAAGGGCAGUGAGUGAAUGCAUAGCUUUGCUUUGCCUUUUACAUGCUAUGCAUUAAUAAAGGUGGUACCGCGAAAGUUAACCCUUUCGUCCUUUUG